GAUGAACGCUGGCGGCGUGCCUAAUACAUGCAAGUCGAGCGAACAGACGAGGAGCUUGCUCCUCUGACGUUAGCGGCGGACGGGUGAGUAACACGUGGAUAACCUACCUAUAAGACUGGGAUAACUUCGGGAAACCGGAGCUAAUACCGGAUAAUAUAUUGAACCGCAUGGUUCAAUAGUGAAAGACGGUUUUGCUGUCACUUAUAGAUGGAUCCGCGCCGCAUUAGCUAGUUGGUAAGGUAUCGGCUUACCAAGGCAACGAUGCGUAGCCGACCUGAGAGGGUGAUCGGCCACACUGGAACUGAGACACGGUCCAGACUCCUACGGGAGGCAGCAGUAGGGAAUCUUCCGCAAAGGGCGAAAGCCUGACGGAGCAACGCCGCGUGAGUGAUGAAGGUCUUCGGAUCGUAAAACUCUGUUAUUAGGGAAGAACAAAUGUGUAAGUAACUAUGCACGUCUUGACGGUACCUAAUCAGAAAGCCACGGCUAACUACGUG
rnacentral:rRNA from 1 species